AUGGAUUUCUUUUCUGGUCUUCCUAUCUCAGGUUAUUUUGACUGUAUAUUCCUGGUGAUUGAUAAAUUUACUAAAUAUGGUCAUUUCAUGCCAUUAAAACAUACUUUCACUACUGCUAAGGUGGCUGAAGUGUUCUUGGAUAAUGUGUACAAGCUACAUCGUAUGCCCGAGCAUAUAGUGUCUGACAGAGAUCCUAUCUUCACUAGCACAUUUUGGCAGACUCUGAUCAAGAGAACUGGUACACACCUCAAUAUGAGUACUGCCUAUCAUCCAGCUACUGAUGGGCAAACGGAAAGAGUAAAUCAGCAAGUUGAAUGUUAUCUCAGAAGUUUUAUCAGUGCACAUCCGCAUCAGUGGAGCAAGUGGCUUUCAAUGUGUGAAUUUUGGUACAAUACUAAUUGGCACUCUGCAGUGGGCAAGACUCCCGUUGAGAUUUUGUAUGGGCACUCUCCCAGGUACUUUGUCAUCUCAGCCAGUGACACUGUAGCUGCUCCUGAUAUCCAACAUUGGCUUCAAGAGAGACAAACAGUUUUGGAUUCUGUCACUCAGCACUUGCAUAGAGCUCCGCAGAGGAUGAAGGUCCAAGCCGAUAAGCACAGAGCUGAAAGUUGUUUUGAUAUUGGGGACAUGGUUUUUCUUAAGAUUCAACCCUAUGUCCAAUCUUCAGUGGCUCACCGGGCGAAUCAUAAGCUUUCUUUCAAGUUUUUUGGGCCGUUCAAGAUAAUUGGCAAGAUUGGUGAAGUUGCUUACAAACUGGAAUUACCUGCCACCAGCAAGAUUCAUCCGGCCUUCCAUGUUUCACAGCUUAAGAAGGUUAUCCCUCCUACUUCCACGGUACUUUCCAAGCUGCCUCCCCGGUUUUCUCGACUACAAGUGCUAGUGCAAGUUCUUUAG
rnacentral:rRNA from 1 species